CGAGGAUUUCAAUUCCUAUUUUAGUUGUGUCAAUUCUAGUUAAAAAUGGAAGAGAUGUUGUCAUCUUUAUUCCAUAGAAAUUAAAAUAAAAUCAAUUAAAUAAGAAUUAAGAGAAAAUAAUUAGGAAUAGGAAACUUACCCAUUUAUUUAUAUUAGGCUAUUAUGAGUAGAUUAGAAUAAAGAGGGGAGGAAAAAGGGAAGAUAGCCAUUGUGCUUGGUGGCUGCCGAAACUAGAGAGAUGAGAGAGAGAGAGAGAAGGAGAGAAAGGAAGAGAAGAAAGGAGGAGGAAGAAGAAGGUCUUGGGAGGUCUUAGGGUAUUCAAGAGUGAUUGUGUUGAUCAAUUUUUGUUCUUGAUUUUACAAUCGAGAGAGCUCGAGUACAGCUGGCUAGCUAAGAACAUUACUAAAAUAUCUACUAGUUGACAUCUCCUCUGCAAAGGCAGUGCGAUUCCCCAGGUGAUAACACGGGCUGAGGAAUACGAAGCAUUAAGGCACGAGCUGGAGAUGGAUAUAAAGCACAGCCUCCUGAGCGCAAGCAGACGUUAUGUUCAGGUCGUGAUACUUUGACAAUCUGCCAUAUCUAGGAGUCUUUAUAAACCUGGAUACGUUAUUCAUAAACUUGUGUGGUCAGACACUACAUGUUUGUUAUCCCUGAAUUCUCGGACACGUAACAUCACAUGUCCGAUUAUGCCAGACGACCCAUGAUCAAUUUUACCUAAUGAUUAGACCAUACCUUAAUAUAUAUUGUAAUAUUCACCAUUUGUGCAAGACAGGUCACAAAUGGGAUGGGUAUUCACGCGAUGACCCCUACACCUAUCCUGAGAUGGUUCUUCUAUAAAUACCGAGACCUUGGAUAGAAAAGGGGUUGGGUUUUCUCUGUGUAAUACAAACACUCUGUCAAAAUAUAGAGAGAGAUUCAGUAAUAAUAUCGACUCGUGGACUAGGAGGAUUUUAACCGACGAACCACGUAAAAAGGAACGAGUGUUCUAACUAUCUCAUUCUAAGCUUCCUUAAGAAUUGUUAUUUGUAUUGUUGUUUAUCCUUAAGCACUAGUUUUCUCCAGCUAAUUACCCAAUACAUUGUUGGCGAAA